GCCUGAGUGGCUCAGCGGUUGAGCGUCUGCCUUUGGCUCAGGGUGUGAUCCCAGAGGUCCAGGAUCAAGUCCUGCAUCAGGCU
rnacentral:tRNA from 1 species